AUUGAACGCUGGCGGCAGGCCUAACGCAUGCAAGUCGAGCGGAUGAAGGGAGCUUGCUCCUGGAUUCAGCGGCGGACGGGUGAGUAAUGCCUAGGAAUCUGCCUGGUAGUGGGGGAUAACGUCCGGAAACGGGCGCUAAUACCGCAUACGUCCUGAGGGAGAAAGUGGGGGAUCUUCGGACCUCACGCUAUCAGAUGAGCCUAGGUCGGAUUAGCUAGUUGGUGGGGUAAAGGCCUACCAAGGCGACGAUCCGUAACUGGUCUGAGAGGAUGAUCAGUCACACUGGAACUGAGACACGGUCCAGACUCCUACGGGAGGCAGCAGUGGGGAAUAUUGGACAAUGGGCGAAAGCCUGAUCCAGCCAUGCCGCGUGUGUGAAGAAGGUCUUCGGAUUGUAAAGCACUUUAGGUUGGGAGGAAGGGCAGUAAGUUAAUACCUUGCUGUUUUGACGUUACCAACAGAAUAAGCACCGGCUAACUUCGUG
rnacentral:rRNA from 1 species